UAGCGAAGGGGGCUAGCGUUGUUCGGAUUAGCUGGGCGUAAAGCGCACGUAGGCGGAUCGAUCAGUCAGGGGUGAAAUCCCAGAGCUCAACUCUGGAACUGCCUUUGAUACUGUCGAUCUGGAGUAUGGAAGAGGUGAGUGGAAUUCCGAGUGUAGAGGUGAAAUUCGUAGAUAUUCGGAGGAACACCAGUGGCGAAGGCGGCUCACUGGUCCAUUACUGACGCUGAGGUGCGAAAGCGUGGGGGAGCAAACAG
rnacentral:rRNA from 1 species